rnacentral:sRNA from 1 species
GUCGUGAGAUGUUGGGUUAAGUCCCGCAACGAGCGCAACCCUUGUCCCUAGUUGCUACGCAAGGGCACUCUAGGGAGACUGCCGGUGACAAACCGGAGGAAGGUGGGGAUGACGUCAAGUCCUCAUGGCCCUUAUGGGUAGGGCUUCACACGUCAUACAAUGGCCGGUACAGAGGGUAGCCAACCCGCGAGGGGGAGCCAAUCCCGAGAAAGCCGGUCGUAGUCCGGAUUGCAGUCUGCAACUCGACUGCAUGAAGUCGGAAUCGCUAGUAAUCGCGGAUCAGCAUGCCGCGGUGAAUACGUUCCCGGGUCUUGUACACACCGCCCGUCACACCAUGGGAGCGGGGUGCACCAGAAGUAGGUAGGCUAACCGCAAGGGGGCCGUUUACCACGGUGCGCUUCGUGACUGGGGUGAAGUCGUAACAAGGUAGCCGUAUCGGAAGGUGCGGCUGGAUCACCUCCUUUCUCGGACAUCGGGUGUUGGUGGAUUGAUGCGAAUUGAUCUGCUGGCGUCUCGUUCUGGGCCAAGUGCCCACGCCUAUCGGUUGUUGGCAAGGAUGAGCUGGCAAGGGCGGGCCUGUAGCUCAGUUGGUUAGAGCACCGUCUUGAUAAGGCGGGGGUCGAUGGUUCGAAUCCAUCCAGACCCACCAUCAUCGACGAGAGGGGCUGUAGCUCAGUUGGGAGAGCGCCUGCUUUGCAAGCAGGAGGCCGUCGGUUCGAUCCCGUCCAGCUCCACCAAGCGUGUGAGGGAGGAAAGGUUGGCCAGCGGCAAGCGGGAUGGGUGGCAUUGAGAAGCCAUAGCCAAGCGAGGACGUUUGGCUCUGGUUUUUACCAGGGAAUCGGUUGUUCUUUAACAAUUGGGAAGAAGUGAAGGGCACAUGAUGAAGGAUGUCAUGUGCCGGGUUGAUUGUUAUGGGCUGGGAGGUGAAGAGCCUUCUGGCCGGCAAACACGCCCGUGACGAGAGGCGGCUUGGUGUCAGCGAAGUGCGCAGCGUUAUGGGGUCAAGUAAAUAAGUGCAUGUGGUGGAUGCCUUGGCGAUCACAGGCGACGAAGGACGUGGCAGCCUGCGAAAAGCUGCGGGGAGCUGGCAAACGAGCAAUGAUCCGCAGAUGU